rnacentral:snRNA from 1 species
UUCGCUUCUAGACCUUUUGGCUUAGAUCUAGUUAUCAGGUUAAUAUCUGAUACUUCCUCUAUCUGAGGAUAUAUUAAAUGAAUUUUUGGAGCAGGCAGUUGGAAUAGGAGCUUGCUCCGUCCACUCCAUACAUUGAGCUGGUAUUGCAGUACCUCCAGGAACAGUGCACCAGAG